CAAAACUUGUCUGAAUUCUCACAAGGGAACAAUGGCCUGGGCCAUCAUCCUUCCAGCAUAUUUAUUUGUUUUGCUUUGCAUUCUUUAAUGUAGACAGCGAAUUCUAGUGGCAAUCCUGAACUUGUUUGGUUAGUCGUUCCUUCAACUAAAACCAAAUCAUAACAAAUAGCCUCCACAUAUUUAAUGUAUUUCAUCUCACCAGAUUUUCCUUCCUUCUAG
rnacentral:misc_RNA from 1 species